UUGGCGGGAAGGCCAUACCCAAGCGGAAAUUUUCGGACGAUAACUCAUACACUCUCAUAAUUUGACAAGCAAUAUAUGAUUGUAUGUGUGGUUCUUCCAUUCGUAACAUUUCGCUCUCCAAGCCAAGCGUUGAAGCAGGUUGUGUGUAUUUCUUUUUGUGUAUUACGUUUAGCUUGCAUCAGUUGUGUUCUUUCGUAUCGUAUCAUUCAUAUAAAUACCAACAAUUUAAAAACUAUUUAACCUCAAAAUGUGUAACGCUAGACGUGCAAUGAAGAUAGCAAAUAUGCCAUUGCACGCUGUUGUGGUUAUGUGCCGAAAAAAAUCUGAAUCUCGUACACUGUUUCGUUUGUCAAAUCGUGCACGAAAUAUCAAUCGAAAAAACAGCCGAAAAGUGACAUUUUCACUCGUUUGGGUAUGUGCCGAAAAAAGUCUGAAUUUCGUACACUAUUUCGUUUGUCAAAUCGUGCACGAAAUAUCAAUCGAAAACACAGCCGAAAAGUGACUUUUUCACUCGCUUGGGUAUGUGCCGAAAAAAAUCUGAAUCUCGUACACUGUUUCGUUUGUCAAAUCGUGCACGAAAUAUCAAUCGAAAAAACAGCCGAAAAGUGACAUUUUCACUCGUUUGGGUAUGUGCCGAAAAAAGUCUGAAUUUCGUACACUAUUUCGUUUGUCAAAUCGUGCACGAAAUAUCAAUCGAAAACACCCAAAUGACAAUCCAGCCUGCUCUCACUAUGGCGAGCUCAAUGACAGCUGCUUCAACUCAUACUGAGAGGCUAUCAUCGUUUCCUCCUGCGUACUGAGCAAGCUUGUUUUUUCCCCUCGCUGAGGCGAGAUGAUUUUGUUUGUAUGGUGAGCAAAUCUAUCGCCGAUGAUUGCUCUAAUGAGAUGAUCAAGCAACAGCCGCUCACAUGAUGAAAUCAUGAUGAGGUCGGAUUUUGGAGUGAGUAAAAAUUUCUUCCCCACAUCGAGCCGUGUGAUUGUGUUGUGGUUUUAGGAGAACAUUGGAUCAUCUACGAAUUGUUUACAUUUGUAAAACGUGCAAUAAUUGACCGUGGGCUACAUUUCUCGAUUCUUUUGUUGAAACAGCAUAUCAAAUAUCCCAAAUCAGUUAAAAUAUAGUGAAAUGUUGUAUCGGACACACGAUGCUUUGAAGAAAACGUGAGGGCAAACAUGGGAAGAUGAUGAACAUUUUCCCUUACUAAUAGUUGAUUUACAGCCUCUUGGCAUCAACAAAACAUGAAGCAGCGUUUAACGAUGAAGAAGAUACCCAGUUGUGCGAUGACCAUUAACCGUUAACGUUGGAAAUUAAGAGGAAUAUUACAUGGAUCGAAAAUACCUAGAGAGCCUAGAACCUACCUAACACCCAGAAAUACCGCAUCGAGUCGAAUUUAGAACGUAAAUAAUCGUCCACAAAAGGCCAUCUUUUGGAUUGUGGGUGAUUGUUAGCAGUGGCGGAUUAAGACGAGUGGAGGCCCUAAGCGAUCACACGAAAUUAGAGGCUUGAUUGAAGCGUGUAGCAAAGGAUUGUAUCAAAUGUCCUAACCAGAGAUUGAGUAGCAAUUUUACUUGUGAGCGGGGCGUAGGUGCCAUUUUUGGGGCCCCUGGCCGACACAGAUGUUCGACACUUAAACAACUGAAUACGAUGGAACACAUUAAAACUGAGAGAAAUACACAUCUAAUCAAUUACUUUAAAAAAUAAUAUAA